UACGGGGGGGAGCAAGCGUUGUUCGGAUUUACUGGGCGUAAAGGGCGCGUAGGCGGUCAGCACAAGUCAGUUGUGAAAUCUCCGGGCUUAACUCGGAAAGGUCAACUGAUACUGUGCGACUAGAGUGCGGAAGGGGCAACUGGAAUUCUCGGUGUAGCGGUGAAAUGCGUAGAUAUCGAGAGGAACACCUGCGGCGAAGGCGGGUUGCUGGGCCGACACUGACGCUGAUGCGCGAAAGCUAGGGGAGCAAACAGG
rnacentral:rRNA from 1 species